rnacentral:rRNA from 1 species
UACAGGGGGGGCAAGCGUUUGUUCGGAAUUACUGGGCGUAAAGGGCUCGUAGGUGGCCAACUAAGUCAGACGUGAAAUCCCUCGGCUUAACCGGGGAACUGCGUCUGAUACUGGAUGGCUUGAGUUUGGGAGAGGGACGCGGAAUUCCAGGUGUAGCGGUGAAAUGCGUAGAUAUCUGGAGGAACACCGGUGGCGAAGGCGGCGUCCUGGACCAACACUGACACUGAGGAGCGAAAGCCAGGGGAGCAAACGGG